UACGGGGGGGGCAAGCGUUGUUCGGAAUUACUGGGCGUAAAGAGCUCGUAGGCGGCCAACUAAGUCGGAUGUGAAAUCCCCAAGCUUAACUUGGGAACUGCAUCCGAUACUGGAUGGCUUGAAUCCGGGAGAGGGAUGCAGAAUUCCAGGUGUAGCGGUGAAAUGCGUAGAUAUCUGGAGGAAUACCGGUGGCGAGGGCGGCAUCCUGGACCGGCAUUGACGCUGAGGAGCGAAAGCUAGGGGAGCAAACGGG
rnacentral:rRNA from 1 species